rnacentral:misc_RNA from 1 species
UAAAGUGCGAUAUCUAGUGCGAUUUGCAUGAACCUGUGAGUCAUCGAGUUUUUGAACGCAACUUGCACCCGUAAGGGUAUGUCCCUUUGAGUACAGUACCAAUAUAUAAGGUUGGAUGAUGCCUAAGAGCUCAUCUUAAAGGUAGCGUUAGGUUGAAAGGGAAUGGUAGCCAUACUUCAGCACUUGAGGGGAAGGCGGUGUGAAGGUUACACUUAGACUACCCCCCUUUAGAGCUGUUCUACUAAUCCUCAUUAUAUCCUGUCUCAGAGGGGCAAGAUUACCCGCUGAACUUAA